GAGUCGGGUGUGACCACGACUUUAGGACGC
rnacentral:piRNA from 1 species